rnacentral:tRNA from 1 species
UCCCUGGUGGCUCAGAUGGUAAAGAAUCUGCCUGCAAUGCAGGAGAUCCAGGUUUGAUCCCUGGGUCGGGAC